rnacentral:rRNA from 1 species
GAUUAACGCGAAGAACCUUACCUGGAUUUGACAUCCCUCGACAACCGUAGAGAUACGGCUUUGGUAGCAAUACCACGAGGAGACAGGUGCUGCAUGGCUGUCGUCAGCUCGUGUGGUGACAUGUUGGGUUAAGUCCCGCAACGAGCGCAACCCUUGUCCUUAGUUGCCAGCAUUCAGUUGGGCUCUCUAAGGAGACUGCCGUGGUUAACACGGAGGAAGGUGGGGAUGACGUCAAGUCCUCAUGGCCUUUAUAUCCAGGGCGACACACGUGAUACAAUGGACGGUACAGAGGGAUGCGAAACCGCGAGGUGGAGCAAAUCUCAAAAAGCCGUUCUCAGUUCGGAUUGGAGUCUGCAACUCGACUCCAUGAAGUUGGAAUCGCUAGUAAUCGCGGAUCAGCACGCCGCGGUGAAUACGUUCCCGGGCCUUGUACACACCGAAUC